CCGUAGCCCAAGAGAUCGGGAUAACACCUGGAAACAGAUGCUAAUACCGGAUAAUAACAGAUGAUGCCUAUCAACUGUUUAAAAGAUGGUUCUGCUAACACUCUUGGAUGGACCUGCGGUGCAUUAGCUAGUUGGUAGGGCAACGGCCUACCAAGGCGAUGAUGCAUAGCCGAGUUGAGAGACUGAUCGGCCACAUUGGGACUGAGACACGGCCCAAACUCCUACGGGAGGCAGCAGCG
rnacentral:rRNA from 1 species